AGGUAGUGACAAUAAAUAACAAUGCGGUCCUUUAAUUGGUUUCUGCAAUUGGAAUGAGAACAAUCUAAACACCUUUAACGAGGAGCAAUUGGAGGGCAAGUCUGGUGCCAGCAGCCGCGGUAAUUCCAGCUCCAAUAGCGUAUAUUAAAGUUGUUGCAGUUAAAAAGCUCGUAGUUGGAUUUCGGAACGGUCGGGUUGGUCCGCCCUUCGUGGUGUGUACUGGCCUUGGUGGUGUUGGUUGGGGGCUUGCUUCUGGCCUGCCGCCCUUGUCGCGUGUAUUGCGUGACAAGUGAUCGUUCUUCUCCCUCGGAGACGGAGUCUGUCCUUAGUUGGGCGGGUUCUGGAUGCGAGGUGUUUACUUUGAAAAAAUUAGAGUGUUCAAAGCAGGCUUCUAUCUUGGCUUGAAUACAUUAGCAUGGAAUAAUGGAAUAGGACUCUGUGUCUAUUUUGUUGGUUUGAAGGCAGAGAGUAAUGAUUAAUAGGGACAGUUGGGGGCAUUCGUAUUUAAUUGUCAGAGGUGAAAUUCUUGGAUUUCUGAAAGACGAACAACUGCGAAAGCAUUUGCCAAGGAUGUUUUCAUUAAUCAAGAACGAAAGUUAGGGGUUCGAAGACGAUCAGAUACCGUCGUAGUCCUAACCAUAAACAAUGCCGACUAGGGAUCAGCGUGCGUUCGUUUUCAUUGGACGUCGUUGGCACCUUACGAGAAAUCAAGAGUUUUUGGGUUCUGGGGGGAGUAUGGUCACAAGGCUGAAACUUAAAGGAAUUGACGGAAGGGCACCACCAGGAGUGGAGCCUGCGGCUUAAUUUGACUCAACACGGGAAAACUCACCAGGUCCGGACAUAGUGAGGAUUGACAGAUUGAGAGCUCUUUCUUGAUUCUAUGGUGUGUGCAUGGCCGUUCUUAGUGUGAGUGAUUGUCUGA
rnacentral:rRNA from 1 species